GUGCUUGCUUUGGCAGCACAUAUACUAAAGUUGGAAUGAUACAGAGAUUAGCAUGGCCCCUGUGCAACGGUGACAUGCAAAUUCAUGAAGCGCUCCGUAAUUUA
rnacentral:snRNA from 1 species